rnacentral:rRNA from 1 species
AUUGAACGCUGGCGGCAUGCUUUACACAUGCAAGUCGAGCGGCAGCGCGGGGGCAACCCUGGCGGCGAGCGGCGAACGGGUGAGGAAUACAUCGGAACGUACCCCGGAGUGGGGGGAUAACGCCGCGAAAGCGGCGCUAAUACCGCAUAUGCUCUGAGGAGGAAAGUGGGGGACCGCAAGGCCUCACGCUCUGGGAGCGGCCGAUGUCCGAUUAGCUAGUUGGUGGGGUAAAGGCCCACCAAGGCGACGAUCGGUAGCUGGUCUGAGAGGAUGAUCAGCCACACUGGGACUGAGACACGGCCCAGACUCCUACGGGAGGCAGCAGUGGGGAAUUUUGGACAAUGGGGGCAACCCUGAUCCAGCCAUGCCGCGUGCGGGAAGAAGGCCUGG